GACGAACGCUGGCGGCGUGCUUAACACAUGCAAGUCGAACGGAAAGGCCCUGCUUGCCGGGUGCUCGAGUGGCGAACGGGUGAGUAACACGUGGGUGAUCUGCCCCUUACUUUGGGAUAAGCCUGGGAAACUGGGUCUAAUACUGGAUAGGACCAUGCUGUAGGUGGUGUGGUGGAAAGAUUAGUUUCGGUAAGGGAUGAGCUCGCGGCCUAUCAGCUUGUUGGUGGGGUAAUGGCCUACCAAGGCGUCGACGGGUAGCCGGCCUGAGAGGGUGGACGGCCACAUUGGGACUGAGAUACGGCCCAGACUCCUACGGGAGGCAGCAGUGGGGAAUAUUGCACAAUGGGCGCAAGCCUGAUGCAGCGACGCCGCGUGGGGGAUGACGGCCUUCGGGUUGUAAACUCCCUUCAGCCAUGACGAAGCCCUUGUGGUGACGGUAGUGGUAGAAGAAGCACCGGCUAACUACGUG
rnacentral:rRNA from 1 species